GGGGAAUUUUAGAACGCCUCAUCAUGGACACUGAUGAAGAAGACACAGACAAAGAAGGGCAAGAGGAUGCCAGUAACAAUUGCGGCCUCGAAGGCUGGAAGGUGCUCCUCACAGCUUUCGGCUUAUUUUUCACGCUUGCCCUAGUAGUUCGGUCCUCCAUCUCCUAGAAAAAGAAGCGACAGUAGUCCACAAGCCAUCCAUGAGUUUGUAAUUUUACUUCAUACAGACAUCUUUGGAUUCCCUCCUUGUUUUUAAGAUGUUUUCUGCCUUCAAACUUCGGGUUCACAGCUAAGCGCUUAACCGCUUGAGAUAUAAAAACCCUAGCAAUUAGAUAUCGAAGUUCAAAUAUGUUCAACAUCAUCAAAUAUUGCAUAGCUCAAAUGUGUUCAACAUCAUCAAAUACUGAAAUACAUCCAGCAUUAGCGAUGCUAUUUCGGCA